GGAGCCUGCUGCACAACAUCGCCACCCACCGAUCUCCAACGCCGACUGUCGCCAGCAGCCUCCACAGAUCGCAUACUGAAGUUCUUCCUCAAAGGCACAGAUGCUUCAAACGACGGGUCAAAACCAACAUCUACCAGAUGACUCUAGAAUUUCUUCUGAUCUUCUGUCCCUACGAAGUCAGAAUCCGGGUUCAAGGACAUGUUCUAGUUGUUUAUAAUAUAUUGCUUCGCCACAAGAAAGAGGAAGCUACUCAGGAAUCAGGGACUUAUAUCAUAUAGGGGCACAGCUGAUUGGUUCUCCAGUGAUACCAGCAUGUUUGAUUCACCAUGUUUUUUCAAGUUUUUUCUCGUUUACACAUGUCAACUAUUUGGCUGCUGUUUGUCAGUAAAAGAAAGAUAAG